UACGUAGGGGGCAAGCGUUGUCCGGAUUUAUUGGGCGUAAAGCGCGCGCAGGCGGCUUCGCGCGUCCGACGUGAAAGCCCCCGGCUUAACCGGGGAGGGUCGUUGGGUACGGCGGAGCUUGAGGGCGGGAGAGGGUGGUGGAAUUCCCGGUGUAGUGGUGAAAUGCGUAGAGAUCGGGAGGAACACCUGUGGCGAAGGCGGCCACCUGGGCCGACCCUGACGCUGAGGCGCGAAGGCGUGGGGAGCGAACGGG
rnacentral:rRNA from 1 species